rnacentral:tRNA from 1 species
GGGGUAGAGCUCAGUUAGUAGAGUGCUUCCUCGCAUGCACAAGGUCCUGGGUUCAAUCCCCAGCACCUCA